rnacentral:misc_RNA from 1 species
GAACGCACCUUGCGCUCCUUGGUAUUCCGAGGAGCAUGCCUGUUUGAGUGUCAUUUAACUUCUCAACCACACUUGAUUUGUGUGGCUUUGGAUAUGGGGGUUUCUGCGGGCUUUCUUGUGUGAAAGAAGGUCGGCUCCCCUGAAAUUGAUUAGCGGUACCUUUGUGGAACUGUCUACAGGUGUGAUAAUUAUCUACAUCCUAGACAUCUGCUGGAAUGCUGCUUUCUAAACCUUACUUGUAUUGACAAUCUUGACCUCAAAUCAGGUAGGACUACCCGCUGAACUUAAG